GUUUAAAAUUGGUUUAGAUCACGUUUAGAUGGCAUUUACGUCGAUCUAAACGUUUAGGAAUCUAAUCUAAACGUGUUCUGAAUAUUUAAUUUGCGUUGAAAAGCUAAAUCAAACAAUUUCCGUACGGAACUAACUAAAUUAAAUUAGUUUCUUACAAAAUGUGUCGGACAUUUUGAAUCUUUCAUUAUGAUUAAAAAUUAGAGUUUCUUAUUAAUCUUAAAUUAUGUAAUAAAGGUUUAGAAAAAAUAAAAGAAAUUUGUUUUUAGUAUUAUAUUGUGGCUAAUGAAGGAGUUAAAAAGUCCUUCCAGUCAGUUGCAACAACAAUUAAAGCAGCAGGAAACAGCCAAGUACACAUGCAAGUGAUUGUUAUGAGGAUUGCAAAACUUUUAAAUAUCAGAAACUGAAGAAAGCAUUCAUAAUCAGCAGAUAUCAAAAAAGCGCAAAAUUGAGGAAGAAUUUUAUGUUAAUGUUAAUG